GCAUGGAAAAUGUGGAGGUUUUUCCCACCCUGCGCCUUGAGUGAUUACAUCAAAGCUUAAAACGUGAAGUGUAGUUCUGUAUGAUAGCCACAUUAGCGGCUAAUUAGUAUUUAAUUUUUGGGGUGUAAUUACAGGCUCUCAAAGUGACCUUGUCCGAGAGAUUGGCGAGGUUAUCAAAAUGCCAAGGAAAUGGCUUCCUGAAAUCCCUCAAGCAGCUGAUUGGUCGACUCCAUGGCUAAUUGGAGAGCUGACCCCGCCCCCUCGUCAAGACGCAGCUGUCUCCAAUUACCCAUUCCUUCUGACGCUAUAUAAAAGCCAGUGUUCUGUUCAAGAGGGGAUCUCUUCUUUUUGGAGGUAGAGAUUUUGCUGGAGGUAGGGAUUGCUGAGAUUGAUUGUGAUAGAG
ensembl:lncRNA